rnacentral:snRNA from 1 species
AUACUUACCUGGCAGGGGAGAUACCAUGAUCACAAAGGUGGUUUUCCCAGGGCGAGGCUUAUCCAUUGCACUCUGGAUGUGCUGUCCCCUGGGAUUUCCCCAAAUGUGGGAAACUCGACUGCAUAAUUUGUGGUAGUGGAGGACUGCGUUCUCACUUUCCCCUG